rnacentral:rRNA from 1 species
AUGGAGGUGCAGGCCCAAGUACUUCAAAUCAUCUACAAGAAAUCCAAGAAAGAACAGCGAAGGAAAAACGUGACAAGAAAAGUGUUUUCUCGACUCGAGAUGUUAGAAGGUGCUAAAUCAAUAGGUGCCGGAGCUGCUACAAUUGCUUUAGCUAGAGCUGCUAUCGGUAUUGGAAACGUUCUCAGUUCUUUGAUUCAUUCCGUGGCGAGAAAUCUAUCAUUGUCUAAACAAUCAUUUGGUUAUGCCAUUUUGGGCUUUGCUCUCACCGAAGCUAUUGCAUUGUUUGCCCCAAUGAUGGCCUUUCUGAUCUCAUUCGUUUUCCGAUCGCAUAAAAAGUCAUGA